rnacentral:rRNA from 1 species
GAGACUCUGUGCGCGUGCAUAUCAAUAAGCGGAGGAAAAGAAACUAACAAGGAUUCCCCUAGUAACGGCGAGUGAAGCGGGAAGAGCUCAAAUUUGAAAUCUUAAAGGGUUUCCCUUUACGAAUUGUAGUUUAAAGAAGUGUUUUCUGUUGGAGUUUCGGUAAAAGUUCUUUGGAAUAGGACAUCAUAGAGGGUGAGAAUCCCGUAUUUGACCGUUACUUUCCAGCUGUGUGAUACACUUUCAAAGAGUCGGAUUGUUUGGGAAUGCAGUCCAAAAUGGGUGGUAAAUUUCAUCUAAAGCUAAAUAUUGGCGAGAGACCGAUAGCGAACAAGUACCGUGAGGGAAAGAUGAAAAGAACUUUGAAAAGAGAGUUAAACAGUACGUGAAAUUGUCAAAAGGGAAGCGUUUGACACCAGUGUUGUUUAGUUGAAAAUCAAUUCAAUAAUUUUUGAUUCUAAGUAGUAUUGACUUCAUCAGCUUGCUGCUUUCUUCUCAGAAAUUAUUGAAUGCACUUUUCAGUUAACAAGUCAACAUCAAUUUCUUUUGUUGUAAAAGGGUAAGAGGAAGGUGGCUUGCGCUUCGGCUCAAGUGUUUAUAGCCUUUUAGUCUCUGCAAUCGGAGAGAUUGAGGUCUGCAGCGUAGAUCCUUCGGGGUUAGAUACAUUGGUGCUAAGCUAUAGCCUUGUAUAGACAACUUGUUGACUAUGCUCAGUCAUGUAGCUUACUCGCUGAUGCUAUUUUACCUACGCUUAGGAUGUUGACAGCAGUAUAGACUGU